AGCAGCCGCGGUAAUUCCAGCUCCAAUAGCGCAUAUUAAAGUUGUUGCAGUUAAAAGCUCGUAGUUGAAUUUCGGGGUCAGUAGGCUGGUCAUGCCACAGGUAUGUACUGGUCUCACUGAUUCCUCCUUCCUGAUGAACCGUAAUGCCAUUAAUUUGGUGUUGCGGGGAAACUGGACUGUUACUUUGAAAAAUUAGAGUGUUUAAAGCAGGCUAACGCUUGAAUACAUUAGCAUGGGAUAAUGAAAUAGGACGUUCGAUCCUAUUUUGUUGGUUUCUAGGAUUGACGUAAUGAUUAAUAGGGAUAGUUGGGGGCAUUAGUAUUCAAUUGUCAGAGGUGAAAUUCUUGGAUUUAUUGAAGACUAACUACUGCGAAAGCAUUUGCCAAGGAUGUUUUCAUUAAUCAAGAACGAAAGUUAGGGGAUCGAAGACGAUCAGAUACCGUCGUAGUCUUAACCAUAAACUACGCCGACCAGGGAUCGGAUGAUGUUAAUUUUUUAAUGA
rnacentral:rRNA from 1 species